rnacentral:rRNA from 1 species
AUGAACGCUGGCGGCGUGCCUAAUACAUGCAAGUCGAGCGAACAGACGAGGAGCUUGCUCCUCUGACGUUAGCGGCGGACGGGUGAGUAACACGUGGAUAACCUACCUAUAAGACUGGGAUAACUUCGGGAAACCGGAGCUAAUACCGGAUAAUAUAUUGAACCGCAUGGUUCAAUAGUGAAGGACGGUUUUGCUGUCACUUAUAGAUGGAUCCGCGCCGCAUUAGCUAGUUGGUAAGGUAACGGCUUACCAAGGCAACGAUGCGUAGCCGACCUGAGAGGGUGAUCGGCCACACUGGAACUGAGACGCGGUCCAGACUCCUACGGGAGGCAGCAGUAGGGAAUCGUCCGCAAUGGGCGAAAGCCUGACGGAGCAACGCCGCGUGAGUGAUGAAGGUCUUCGGAUCGUAAAACUCUGUUAUUAGGGAAGAACAAAUGUGUAAGUAACUAUGCACGUCUUGACGGUACCUAAUCAGAAAGCCACGGCUAACUACGUG